GACGUAGGUGGCGAACGUUAUCCGGAAUUAUUGGGCGUAAAGGGUGCGUAGAUGGCUUGAUAAGUUAGCAGUGGGAAAUCGAGGCUCAACCUCGUGGAAGCUGGUAAUACUGUCAGGCUCGAGUGCAGGAGAGGUUAACGGAACUCCAUGUGGAGCGGUAAAAUGUGUAGAUAUAUGGAAGAACACCAAUAGCGGCGAAGGCAGUUAACUAUUCUGUUACUGACAUUGAGGCACGAAAGCGUGGGGAGCAAAACGG
rnacentral:rRNA from 1 species